CUCUCUGAUUAGACAAGAGCAUAUUGCUUUUAUAUUCUAUCUUAUCUUUAGGAUCACCACCAUUUUACUAGUAUCACCCACGCAUCCAAAUUCAGAAUUAAAGCACAUGUUGUAUUGCCUGUUGUAGUGCCCCGAGCCUGAAUACCUAACCAACCAAUUAGUUAAAAUAGUACAUUGACGCAAUAUUAACAGUUUGAAAGCAAAUACAAAUCAUGAUAUUAAAUAGUGCUUGUAAACCACGUGCUACACUGAAAUCAUUUUCAAAGCAGAGACAAAACUACAAUGAAGCAACAUGAACGUAUAUUCACCCAUUUCACGCAAAAGAAUAAAAAUCAAACAAGCACUCGCUAGCACCCACUAGCAA
rnacentral:lncRNA from 1 species